rnacentral:tRNA from 1 species
ACGUCCGUAGCUCAGUUGGUUAGAGCACCACCUUGACAUGGUGGGGGUCAGUGGUUCAAGUCCGCUCGGACGUACCA